UACAGAGGUCUCAAGCGUUGUUCGGAUUCCUUGGGCUUAAAGGGUGUGUAGGUGGCGCCGUAAGUCGGGUGUGAAAUUUCGGAGCUUAACUCCGAAACUGCAUUCGAUACUGCGGUGCUUGAGGACUGGAGAGGAGACUGGAAUUCAUGGUGUAGCAGUGAAAUGCGUAGAGAUCAUGAGGAAGACCAGUGGCGAAGGCGGGUCUCUGGACAGUUCCUGACACUGAGACACGAAGGCCAGGGGAGCAAACGGG
rnacentral:rRNA from 1 species